ACGUCUUACACCCAUGCGGUAAAAGCCGCCUGGGCAAGGGGUAUUUUGGGAGGAGUGGGGGUGGGAGAUGGUAGCGGCGGAGGAGGGUAGUGAGGAGAAGGAGGAGGAGGAGACGGUCUAGGUUAGGUGGUUGGAAGAGGUACCGCGAGAGGCACCUCUUCUGGAGCAGCCCGGCCCUCAUGUUCCAGUUCCUGGAGAGGGUCCGGCUGAAGCCCGCGGAGCUCGAGCUGGAGCGGCUCCAGCUCUACGGGCCGGAGUACCGGACGGCGUGGCUCAAGCCAGGGAGCGUCGGGAAGUUCCCGCGGGCCUAGAGGCCGAGGGAGGUGUACUGGUAGGUCUGGCGGCACGAGUAGCUCUGGGAGUGGCGGGAGCCGCGGCUCCAGGCGACCACGAGGACGUUGUAGAAGAGGUGGGUCCUGGUGCGGCGGCGGCGGUAGCGGGCGCUGAGGCGGCGGCAGAAGCGGACCUUCCCGCUCUGGGAGCUCCUCAUGACCACCACGUGGCUCGCGACGGAGCUGACCCCGCGGCCGCCGCCGGGGCUGGAGUAGCAGCUGCUGCCGCCGCUGCGGUGCGACGAGUAGGUGCUCCCGCAGUUCCGGCUCCUCCUCAAGCUCUUCAGGCCGUUCCAGGGGCUGGGCCUCAGGUGGCUGUUGGGGCUCAAGUUCUAGCAGGAGUGGUAGUAGGCGCUGCCCGAGUUCUGGCUGCGGGUGUUCAUGGCGUUCUACUUCCUCUCCGAGCAGCCGCACAGGCUCCUCUGGUGGUGGCCGCAGUUCUCCGAGAUGGUCUACGUCCUCAGGCCGUGGGAGGAGAAGGGGCGGUAGUUGCAGUUGCUGAGGCAGUGGUUCUCGUUCAAACUGUUGGAAAUGCCAACGGCAGUGAGCGAGGGACUACCAGAAUACUCCCGGUGACUACAAUACUAGCGGCCGUUCCAACGGCACCAGACGCCAAUACCACUACAACCGUUCCCGACACGCCGGCGUGAGUUCGUCCGACCACGGGCACACUAGCACUGUCUCUAACUGGGGUAGACACGGGAAGUCCGGGACUACCUCCCGUAGGUCUAGGAGUGGAACCUCCUACAACAGAGACUCCGACUAUAGAAACACUGGUGGUGGCCUUUGUUCCUGUAGUAGUACCAACUGGUGUACUCCUUCUACUUCUUGUUGCGGUAACAGACGUUGUAACCAGUGAAGCUGUUACUCUAGCUAUACUUGCCGGAACUCUGGAUGGGACCACAGUUCGCGUAGUGGUAGUUCGGGGUCUGACUGGCGACCCAGAAGGGGCUCUGGUUCUGACCGUAGUAACAAGAACGACUCCCAGCAGACUACUUGGAACCUACACGGUGACCGGUGGGGUCGAAGCAGUACAGGACGAGUAAGUGGUUGGUCCAAUAACGAGUCGAACUCAACACCUUGCUCUUCCGGUGACCGUUCAUGCUCUUCUUCCACAUGCAAGAGGGGUUCGUGGAGCUGCUCUUCCAGCGCCGGGAGGUGAACCCGUUCGAGCCGCGGUCCGACUGGUUCGAGUGGUUCAGGGUCAGACUGAUGUAAUCGUAGGGUCAACUCCCAGGCAUGUUCGGACGCCGGAUGGCCAUGAUCACACAGGUCGUGCUGAUCGCCGACCGGACUCGGACUCAGCCUCGUCGCCGUGGUUGCCCUUGAGAAUAGUUGAUAGGACAAAGGGAAGAUAAUAGAAUGUACGACAGAGAAUCCGCCUCCUAAACAAUAAUACCAAUACAAAACUCGGAACACUCCCAACCCUCUCCGCCGCAAACGAAAACGGGUCUUUAUUACCGUAAUAAUAACCAAAUUCACUCCACCACAAGAAAAGGUAUACGACAAAAUAGAGCCAACAAGAUGACACAGACUUUAGGAAGCCUUAGACUACGAGUAUAAAACA
rnacentral:rRNA from 1 species